rnacentral:lncRNA from 1 species
CAAAAAGAAGUAAACAGUUCAAUACAGUAAAUGCCUGGUUUCUUUUGUGCUCAGAAUAGGGCUUAAGUCCCAGCCCUCACCCUUGGGACUUCAUUUAGGAAAUACUACCUCAAAUACCUUUUUUCUACAUUGAGAAUACAAUCUAGGCAGGAUAAUGUUACGUCAUUUCUGUCCCGGAACUUCAGGGUAUUUCCUGUUUCAGAUGUUUUUUGACUACAGAAAUAAAAUCAGGUAUUCAUUAAAUAUUCAUGUAUUUUUUUCAUGUUAGUGUCACUAUGUAGAUUCACUGCUCUGUCAGUGUUAACUGUUAGUUUCUUGUUUAUUUGUUUGUUUUUCAUAAAUUGAGAUGGAGUCUUGCUUUGUUGCCAGGGCUGGUCUCAAACUCUGGGGCUCAAGCGAUCCUUCUGCCUCCCAAAGUGCUGGGAUUACAGGUGUAAUCAUGCCCAGCCAACUGUUAGAUAUUCUUAACAGAAAGUAAGCAGAAAUGCUCUAAGGAGACAGUGAUUAAUGAUUCAUAGGCUUAUUGGGAUAUAAUACCUAGCAAUAUUGAGCAAUUACUAUGCCAAGCCUGAAUUUUUACAACAGUCCUCCAUUUUAUCAAUAAGGUCAAGAUCAGAGUUAGUGGGCGGUGGAGUUAUCUUGCAAACCCAGGUCUGUCUGGUGGCAAAGUUUGUGUGCCCUUAGUCACUAUGUUUUACUAACAUAAUUAAAAGACCUUUUUUUGGUCCAUGUUUAUAAGUAGAUAAUUUGUACAGUAGAUUUUCCAAAAUAUUAAAGUGAAAUUUUUCUUAAUAUCUUUUGACUUAUUGUGUGUUUAUCCCAAUAUUAAGAAAUUCCCCCAAAACUUAAUUCUUUAAGGCUCAGCAUAGAAGACAGUGAACUUCCUAAUGAGACUUUCUUACAGACCUGUGCUGUCCAGCACAGUAGCCACUAGGUCAUGUGGCUACUGAGCAUUGAUUUUUUUUUUAUCUUUAAUAAAAUGAUCAGUUUAACAUUUUCUUGCUAUUCGUCAUGUUUAUAACCUAAUACUUUUUGGAAGAUUUCAAAAUAUUUUGGCCUAUGUAAAGUAAAUCUCCUAAAAUACCAGACCUUAAGAACAAGACCAAAAGUAAGUUAUAAGGAGUGUGUC